CGACGAUUGACUUUUUUUUUUUACCUCCUGAUGUGUUGCUGAAAAGUUAACCUCCCCUCCGGUGAUUUGUAAUUAUAACGUAUCAACGUUUAUUAACAUUAACAACGUGAAAAGGCGUGCACAUCCAGAGAGUCUACGGUGAGGUCGUAGGGGUCCAUUUUAAGCUUGUUGAAGACUUCCUUGAGUGUGAGCUGUUGGCUGCCCUUCUCCAAGAUGACGCGAUCUGCCUCUGUCUG